rnacentral:SRP_RNA from 2 species
GCCAGGUGCAGUGGUGUAUGCCUGUAGUCCCAGCUACUUGGGAGGCUGAGGCAGGAGGAAUGCUUGAGCCCGGGAGUUGAGAGCUGUAGUGCCUGUGAAUAGCCACUGCCCUCCAGCCUGGGCAACAUAGCAAGACCUUGUCUCUU